GUUUUAAAAGAUUAUAAGUAAAUACUCUGCUCUUUCAAGUGAACCAAACCUAUCAAACCUGUUUAGAAAAUAAACCAGGCAGAAUAAAAUGAUGCGAAAUGUUCAUUUUAAAAAACUUCAGGAUGGGCACAAACACACAGAAGUGGGAAAUGAAUAAAAGAGUAUUGAUAAAUUUUUGAAAAUUGUUGAAGCUGAGUAAUGGGCUUUCAGUCCAGUGUAAAGCUGUUGGAGCGCGGGAGCAAAGGUAAAGAAUGAUGUAAUGCGCUGGCUGCUCCAAAGCAUCUUUUGUUGUGGAAUGGUUAUUCCAGUCAUCUCUUUAUGAAUCAAAUGUGAGGGGCUGCUUUGUGGACGGAGUCCUUUGCAAGAGCACAUCAACGGGAAAGAGAAAGAGACAUUCACUUGGAGGGCUCUUGCUGAAAAUGGGUUUAACUCUCCUUUUGCCAGUCACCACCAGCCUGACCUCAUACACUUUUAGUACAAUGGAGUGGCUGAGCCUUUGAGCACACCACCAUUACAUCAUCGUGGCAAAUUAAAGAAGGAGGUGGGAAAAGAGGACUUAUUGUUGUCAUGGCCCAUGAGAUGAUU
rnacentral:lncRNA from 1 species